CCAGCAUUCAAAAGUGAUCAAAACAUCAGCCAGGAAGUAUAGGAACUGAGAAGUGGUCUGUGGUCACCACCUGCAAAACCACUCCUUUAUUGGGAGUGUCUUGAUAAUUGCCUAUAAUUUCCACCUGUUGUCUAUCCCAUUUGCACAACAGCAUGUGAAAUUGAUUGUCACUCAGUGUUGCUUCCUAAGUGGACAGUUUGAUUUCACAGAAGUGU